GUGGGGAAUUUUGGACAAUGGGCGCAAGCCUGAUCCAGCAAUGCCGCGUGUGUGAAGAAGGCCUUCGGGUUGUAAAGCACUUUUGGCAGGAAAGAAAUAGCGCGUGCUAAUACCAUGCGCGAAUGACGGUACCUGCAGAAUAAGCACCGGCUAACUACGUGCCAGCAGCCGCGGUAAGACGUAGGGUGCAAGCGUUAAUCGGAAUUACUGGGCGUAAAGCGUGCGCAGGCGGUUUUGUAAGACAGGUGUGAAAUCCCCGGGCUCAACCUGGGAACUGCACUUGUGACUGCAAGGCUAGAGUGUGUCAGAGGGAGGUGGAAUUCCGCGUGUAGCAGUGAAAUGCGUAGAGAUGCGGAGGAACACCGAUGGCGAAGGCAGCCUCCUGGGAUAACACUGACGCUCAGGCACGAAAGCGUGGGGAGCAAACAGGAUUAGAAACCCGGGUAGUCC
rnacentral:rRNA from 1 species